AGUGAACGCUGGCGGUAGGCCUAACACAUGCAAGUCGAACGGCAGCACAAGAGAGCUUGCUCUCUGGGUGGCGAGUGGCGCACGGGUGAGGAAUACAUCGGAAUCUACUCUGUCGUGGGGGAUAACGUAGGGAAACUUACGCUAAUACCGCAUACGACCUACGGGUGAAAGCAGGGGACCUUCGGGCCUUGCGCGAUUGAAUGAGCCGAUGUCGGAUUAGCUAGUUGGCGGGGUAAAGGCCCACCAAGGCGACGAUCCGUAGCUGGUCUGAGAGGAUGAUCAGCCACACUGGAACGGAGACACGGUCCAGACUCCUACGGGAGGCAGCAGUGGGGAAUAUUGGACAAUGGGCGCAAGCCUGAUUCAGCCAUACCGCGUGGGUGAAGAAGGCCUUCGGGUUGUAAAGCCCUUUUGUUGGGAAAGAAAUCCAGCUGGCUAAUACCCGGUUGGGAUGACGGUACCCAAAGAAUAAGCACCGGCUAACUUCGUGCCAGCCGCCGCGGUAA
rnacentral:rRNA from 1 species